rnacentral:rRNA from 1 species
GCCCAGCGCAUAACCUCCCGGGCUACCAAGCCUGCGGCGGAAUGUUGCGUUAAAGGAAAGGUCGUUAUAAAGCCCUGCACAGCGUAUUCCUAAGUUUGGCUGGAAUCUUCCACUGUUUUUUAACGAAAACAUCGGCUCCAUAGAGGGUGAUAGACCCGUGUGGCUACGUGGAUAUGUGCGUGGGUUCGGCUUUUUUCCUUGAGAGUCGCGUUGCUUGAACAUGCAGCGCUAAGCAGGACGUAAACUCGUCCUAAGGCUAAAUAUUUCCACAGAACCGAUAGUAAACAAGUACCGUGAGGGAAAGUUGAAAAGCACUCUGAAGAGAGAGUCAAAAGACCGUGAAACCGUUUAGAGUAUAAGCCAAUGGUUAUCCGGAAGGCAUGGAGCAGGCACAUACCGAUUCCCGAUUGUGGGAAAAUGGUCAAAGCUGUCGUGUGUGAUAAAGAACGAAGGCAAGGAAUUGUGGAAACGAACCAACAGUGGCAUUGAGUUGAUAGCACUCCUGUGAAAACUCGCGGGUCUCUGACAGUGGUAACUGGUAAGGUUCUUUGAGGAUCCGAACCUAGGCUGGGCUUGAGCGAGCUCCUGCUUUGAGUCAUACGUACGAGUUGCUUAUUAUACAGCCCACCACAACUCUUUAUAAGGUCACCCGCAUAAGACGUGGCUCUGUGUGUUGUCGUGCGCGUUACAGCCUCUGGUUUUGUGUGUGACAUUGUCUGCAUUCAAUUACUCUAUCGAACGCCUUUAGAUGAGUAAUCUGGACCAGGGGCCGGCCGACUUCCUCAUGUCGUUCCCAAAUAUGCGUUGGUAUGAUCCUAUGUGAAGGUUGUUUUCUGACCAUCCUAAAGCCUGAACUCCAGCACAUGAGGCUGUGGGAAACAAAGUACGGAGUGGGAGCUAGUACGUGGGCGUUCUGUGGAAACAUGGUUCGUGUUGCUGGAACACUCGCCGUCGGUGGCGGAUGCGUGGUGAAUUAUUCCGGAGCCAUUGGUCACGUCUCGAAACACGGGCCAAGGAGCAUAGCAUGUGCGCAAGUCUAAGGGUCCUAUAAAACCUGGAGGCGAAGUGAAAGCGAAUUGGUGUGCGCUGUCGGCAGCCCGCAAGGGUUGUCGGCGUGCAGCUUACAUUGUUACGUAAUUCCUAUUCGGACUUCGGUCAGGGUGGAUGAAUGCGUCAUACGGCUACAACCGAGUUGAUCCUUCGUAAUAAAGCCUAAUGGCGAUACGUCGGCGCAAACUCCAGACUCUCUGUGUCGGCACUUGUGUCGUAUGAGAGUACUGUGUAGCGUGUAUGCUAUGACCCGAAAGAUAGUGAACUAUGCCUGGCGAGGG